AUUGCCAUGGGGGAACCCUGAUGCAGCCAUGCCGCGUGUGUGAAGAAGGCCUUCGGGUUGUAAAGCACUUUCAGCGAGGAGGAAAGGUCAGUAGCUAAUACCUGCUGGCUGUGACGUUACUCGCAGAAGAAGCACCGGCUAACUCCGUGCCAGCAGCCGCGGUAAUACGGAGGGUGCAAGCGUUAAUCGGAAUUACUGGGCGUAAAGCGCACGCA
rnacentral:rRNA from 1 species